rnacentral:lncRNA from 1 species
UAGUACUUAAAUAUAUACAGUGCUAUACGCACACACAGCUAUAUUUAUUUAUAUAUGUUAUUCAAACUGUCAGUAAGCCGCCAAGAAGAAAUGGUUUAAAAGUUAUGCUGCUCAGUCGUAAUCAGGCAGAGAUUAGAUUUAUAUCUAUCUUCAUGAUAGUGAAAAUAAUAUUCCAAGUCAGUAUAAUCAGUGUAAAAGUGACUGCUGAGCCUUUCGAAAUAAUUAUAUUUUGUUGUGUAUUCACGAUAAUAACAUUAGGCUAUUUGUUUUAUUCAUAAUGAAAAAAUUUAGAUGAUCGCGUAGUGACUGUGAAAAAAAGUUUUAUUUUUCUAUUAUAUAAUAAUCGUUGACACUAAUUAGAUUAAAUUGAAUUAUAUUUAAAUUUGCGAAUAUAUGUGAAGUGUCUUUUAAGGGGACAACUAAAAUAUUUAUUCCCGGAUACAUCUUUUACAAAGUGGUGAAACAGAUUUUUUCACUUUCUAGGUCUGACUUACUUGAUCGUAUAAUAGAUAAACGGGAACAAGAUAGACAAACGGUUGAAUUCAACAAUACUUUCAGGGGCAUGUGCCUCACUACGACGCGCCGACUGUGGUAGUUCUACCCGUAACAUAC